GUGGGGAAUAUUGGACAAUGGGCGAAAGCCUGAUCCAGCCAUGCCGCGUGUGUGAAGAAGGUCUUCGGAUUGUAAAGCACUUUAAGUUGGGAGGAAGGGCAGUAAGUUAAUACCUUGCUGUUUUGACGUUACCGACAGAAUAAGCACCGGCUAACUUCGUGCCAGCAGCCGCGGUAAUACGAAGGGUGCAAGCGUUAAUCGGAAUUACUGGGCGUAAAGCGCGCGUAGGUGGUUUUGUAAGUUGGAGGUGAAAUCUCCGGGCUCAACCUGGGAACUGCCUCCAAAACUGCAUGACUAGAGUACGGUAGAGGGUAGUGGAAUUUCCUGUGUAGCGUUGAAAUGCGUAGAUAUAGGAAGGAACACCAGUGGCGAAGGCGACUACCUGGACUGAUACUGACACUGAGGUGCGAAAGCGUGGGGAGCAAACAGGAUUAGAUACCCCUGUAGUCC
rnacentral:rRNA from 1 species